GAUGAACGCUGGCGGCGUGCCUAAUACAUGCAAGUCGAGCGAACAGACGAGGAGCUUGCUCCUCUGACGUUAGCGGCGGACGGGUGAGUAACACGUGGAUAACCUACCUAUAAGACUGGGAUAACUUCGGGAAACCGGAGCUAAUACUGGAUAAUAUAUUGAACCGCAUGGUUCAAUAGUGAAAGACGGUUUUGCUGUCACUUAUAGAUGGAUCCGCGCCGCAUUAGCUAGUUGGUAAGGUAACGGCUUACCAAGGCAACGAUGCGUAGCCGACCUGAGAGGGUGAUCGGCCACACUGGAACUGAGACACGGUCCAGACUCCUACGGGAGGCAGCAGUAGGGAAUCUUCCGCAAUGGGCGAAAGCCUGACGGAGCAACGCCGCGUGAGUGAUGAAGGUCUUCGGAUCGUAAACCUCUGUUAUUAGGGAAGAACAAAUGUGUAAGUAACUAUGCACGUCUUGACGGUACCUAAUCAGAAAGCCACGGCUAACUACGUG
rnacentral:rRNA from 1 species